UGUGCGUUCGUGUGUGUGUGUGUGUGCGUCAGCGGGUGUGUGUAACAAUAACAGCUUCGAUUGAAAGCAAACAACGAAAUUCUAAAGCAAUCAUCUGAUUUUUUUGACAUAUCCAAUUGAUUAUUAAAUACUCCGCCGCUGCCCCCAUAAAGACCAAAAUUUAAAACGCUUCAUUAAUUCAAAACGAUUCGCUGACAUCUUGAACCCAAAGAUCCAGCUUCGAUUGCAACAGUCCAGUCAACGGCGUCCACUCGUCUGCGUCGUCGUCUGCUGCAUCUAACUUAUAAUUCGAAUGCCCCAAGAUGCUAGUCCCAAGAAAACUGAAUCCUCCGAUAAGCAAGAUGCUAUUAAACUAUUAAGAUUUUGAGCGGAAAACCAAAAAAAAGAAGUCUACUGACUGACCUCUCAUGUUUGCACACAUUCUGAUCCUGGUGCAAUCCAACAGAAACUGCGAGGCACUGCAACCGAUUGAAAAGCCGCCAGAUUUCCACAGCGAUCCUCUGGAGCGGCUGUCUCAGCUUUUCCGGCUGGACUGCUCGCACCGUUCCGCGUUCCCGGCGACGGCGACGCAGACAACGAUGCUAGAGUGGCCAACGAACUGCCUCACAGGACUCACCAGGAUCCUUGGGAUCAGCCAGGCCAUUGCCGUGGACACGAGAGAAAAUCUAAACACCGCUAUGGAUAAAUAACAUCAGUAAAUUGUCCUGUUACACCAUAUCGAGAAGUUAUCCAAUGAGAAAGCCGCUUAAAUUUUGGAGGAUCUAUGAUGGACGACAGAGAAAAAUAACGCUUUGUUUGUGAAAGAUUUUUUGAGCGCAAGCAAGGAUUAUUAAAACGAAAACCAAGCCAAACCAACUAAAUACCCAAAACGACAAAAAUCGACAAAAAACGACGAAAAACGAACAAAAAUCCUAAAAUCCAUUCGCAAGUUUUUCGGGCAAAGCAUCGAAAACACACUUUUGAGAUUCGAAAAAUCAAAGCGAAACGAACAAAAACAAACUGGAAAGGAGCAGAAAAGACCUGGAGGACGAGAACGGGUGUAAAACGAAGGGAAAUACAAAUCAAAUUUAAAUAAAAUUAAAUGCAAAGGACAUUCGCAUGUGUGUGGUGGUGGAAAGAAAAUUCAAAACAAAAUUCACAAUUAGAAAACGCAGGAAAAAACGUAGAAAACGCAGACACAAAAUCAAGAGUGCCAGCAGCAACAGCAGCAACCAACUGUCAACAGCGGGAAGAAUUUUGAACUGGAACAUUUCGACCAAAAAGUUUGUUGGGCGACAGCAAAAUUUCAACGUUUGGCGCACUACAACACAGCAGCAAACAGCAGCAAGGACAUCGCGGCCAGGCAGCCAGGAUUGCAGGAGCGAGCGGUUUUGAAAGCGCAACACACAUCGACAAACCCUUCUCACACGGACUAGUACUCACACUCGGAUCGGAACCAGGAUACCUUUUGGCUUAGAAAGCGGCCCAAGGAAAAGCCGCAGCCAGAACCUUAAGCUCAAAAUCACGCAUACGCCGCGGCGAACUCGCGCUCUCUCUUUGCCGGAACGAAGGGGAAGCAAAGCCAGAGCAAAAACCGACCAGCCAAUCCGAGGAAGCGGAGAGGGUGCCAGAGGGUUGCUGAGGGGAAAGCAGGCAGCGAAGGCAGCAAAGGCAGCGAAAGCAGGGAAUUCAUCGAGAGCUGAGAAGCGCGAGGCGAGAGAGCUGCUGCUGCUGGUGGGC
rnacentral:sRNA from 1 species